rnacentral:lncRNA from 1 species
GUAGUAUUUUGGAUUUAUGUGGUUAAAUAAAGCAUAUUUCAUAAAUUGAUUUGUGUUACUCACACCACCCAUUUCUUUUCGCAUUUUCUGCAUGGCUGCUGGGAACGGAGCGGACUGUGCGGCUGGAACUGUAUUGCAGCUGUGGGGAGGCUCUGGCCUUGCACUGGCUUGUGCCGGACGCGGAGGUCCAGCUUGGUUCGGCCCCGCAUGCUGCAGCCACGAACGCAGGGACGUUCCGGCUCCCGCUCCGGCUGCGAUCAGCGACACCGACUCGGAGGCCGCCGCCGCCGCCGCCGCCCACGACUAUUGGCAUCCCCCGCGGCCACCGCGCUGCCGGACUGCACCUCCCGGCAUGCCGCGGGAGCCGGGGCGACCGCCGGGGCCGCGUGUCCCACAAGGCCGCGCGCGGCGCAGGGCCUCGCUAGCCCCGACCCUCGAGUCGCUGGCGAGGGCGCCCGACCUAAGGGGCGCACUCGGCUUCUGAGGCAGGAGCUCCUGCCUUCGCGUAUUUUAGGGCGAAUGACGGAGGCGUCGUGCCUCUUUAGGUCCAGUUCUGCUGCGUGGGCAUUGCCGGGGCCGGGCGAGGACGCCUGAGGCCGGGGAGGCGGCGACCGUCGACGCAGGAGGCGCCCGCUGGGUGCUCGAAGGAGCGAGGUGGGGACCGUGGCUUGGGUGAGGGCUGCGGGCGCGUCUGGAGUUGCGGGGGGCGGGGUCGUGCGCUCGGAUGGAGUCGCGUGCCAGGCGGCCAGGCUCCUGUCGUCUGCCCAGGGCCGAGGUGCCCGGGCCGUGAGUGCUUUAUCUCGUGUGGGAGGCUGGGUCCGGGGGCCGGCGUAAUGGUGCUAGAGGCCAUGGUCGUGCUGAGGGUCGUUUAGUCGCCAGAGCCCUGAUGAGGGUCUUUCCCUAAUUUAAGAAAUAGUUACUGAGGGCCCACUAGUUGUCAAGUGUUGCUCUCGGUGCCCGGGUGACCGCAGAGACCAGGGAGCUUCCAUUCUCGUGGGGGUAGGGGUGGGGUGGGGAGAGUGGGGACCGGGGAGCAUAAAUGUUAGGUAAACAGGCAGCAGUGUGCUGGCUCUCCAGGGCAAAAAGCUGUGCUUUGUAGCACAUGCUGACUCCUGGGGUGUAAGUACUCCCCUCAUGGCUAGUUUCAAGCUGCCAACGCGACGUCAUCCAGCUUACAAAACUCCUGCAGACUUAAGGGUCAGCUCUUGUAAGCUCCAGCCACUGCGCAGGGGGUCGAAGGUAUACUCUAUUUGCGGGUGAUAAAUGCUGUGGGGAGAAGAGAAAAUGAGAUGGAAGGAGCCUGGCAGUGUGGAAGUAGCGGGGCAGGUUGUAGGAGUAAGUUGGGUGGCCAGGGGGAGAUGUGUUCAGAGGGGGAGGUCUGAGCAGAGACUUGGAGGAAGUGGAGAGAGUUAGCAAGCGUCUAUACCAGGUAGAAAGUACAGUGGGUGCAGAGGCCCUGCGGCUGGAGCUACCUGGGGUGUUCCAGGGAAACAAGACCAGCGGGAUGGAUAAAGCCAGGGAGAGGGGAGAAAAGGACCUGGUCGGGUAGAACUCUCUAGGCUCCCGAACAGCCCUCUCCAGCCCCCAAAUCCUCUGAAUUCGAGGUCUUCCUUUCUCUGAAUCUCAGUGUCCUCAUCAUUAUAAUGGCCCUCGGCAGGCAUGCAGCUCGGUGCCCAGCAGAACACGAGAGCUGGUCCUUCCCUGCCUGGCUUGGUCCCACGUGGAGAGCCAGCUCUUUCCAGGAUGGAGGCAGGAGGGGAGCCUGGCAGGUUCGCUGUGUCCUUGUCCCAGGAAGAACAAGCCUCCCUUGUUAGAGUCCCCGUGGGACAAAGGGGCAGGCGGCCAUGGAGGCGCGUGAGUCUGAAUCAGGGGGCUGGCGGCCGGACAAAGGACAAUUGUGAGGGCCCUGGGGAGGUGGGAAGUGACAGAUCACAGGCUGGGAGGGCAGACGGAAGCUGACAAUGGAUGGGUGGCAUCCCAGAGAACACCUGGCCUGCUGCCGCUCCCCCCGACCCCCGGUGCGGGGAGAGAACAACAGGCCAUCCAAUAACCCAGCUUCCUGGGGGUGCAGACCCACCUUCAGCCCCCACGGGGAUUUAGAGGAGCGUGGGGGGCCUUGGCUCAGUGCAGCAAUGUUGACGACAGCUCCCUCAACCCACUUCUUUAUUGGGUAUCUGCACCUGCUGUUCCAGGCCAGUGGUGUCCUAGAGCACGUGUCCCGGACCGACAUGCACGACGACUGGGCUCCCUCUUCUGGGUUGAGGUCAAAUCCGUCCUUCAGGAGAUACAAGUCAAAGCCAUUCUUGACUCCUCCCUUUCUCUUUGCCUGACCACUCCCCUCUGCUCCAAACCCUCUGGGGUUCCUACCUCCCUCUGGGUAACAGUCACGGCGUCCCUGCGCCCACAGGACCCUGCCCUCACCUCUCUCUCCCUGCUCACUCUGCUCCAGCCACACAGGCCUCCUCCCUGUUCUCCAACACACCUGGCACAACCCUGCCCCAGGGCCUUUGCCCCUGCUCCACCUAAAAUGCUGUCAACAACAUUAUUUUGCAGUUGCCCCAAAUGGAAACGAAGAAGCUCAUCAAAUAAAGUGUGGUAUCUGCACACAAUGGAAUGUCCCACCCAGCACUGUGGGUCUAGGACCACACCCAACAGCAGGACGACUCACACGAGGCUGGGGAAAGAGACAUCAAGAAUGCAGUGCACAGUUUGAAAGGAGAGGCCAACAGCCCUGGUUUAGAAGUCAGAAUGGUGGUUACGGGUGGAGGGAAGGAGACAGCUGGUAUGCGGGGCUUCUGGGGGCUGGGAGCCGUUGGGGGGGGGGUCUCAGUGCUGCUACAUGGCCAUAAUGGGUGUGUAACUGCUCUGCGGGGGUUCUGCCACGUGAAGA